UCUAUGUGGACGACGCCCCAUGGCCCCCACAGUCGUCGCCGCCAUGGUCGUCCUUGCCGUGGGGCGGUCGUGCUGGACCACUGUCCUUGUCGUCUCGGUCGCCGUGUGGACAGGCCUUGUCGCGGCGCUGUCUGCGGCACACGGGGCACCCCUUGCUGUCGUCGACAUGCGGUUCGGCCUCCAUUUCAGCCUCGGGCGACGGCGGGCCGUUUGCGACCGUCGGCGAGAGCGCACUGGGCACCGAGCGGCUCCUCUCGGCCCGGCGUCGCCGACGUGCCGCGCAUCGUGUGCACGCCGGCGGCACCGACAGGGACACCGAGGUCGGCGAUGGCGUAGACGGCGACGGCGACGGCGAUCGUGGCGGGACAGACGCACAACAGGUCAGAGGGUCAAUGAGGGCCGUCGUGUCGGCGCGCUCGAUGACAGCGACAAAGUGGAUCGACGUGACGAGCCCGCGAAAGGCAAUCAUGCCGCCCUGGGCGUCGAUGCGCUCGAUCCACGCCGAGGGCGCCGUGUCGGCCGCAGAGGCUGCCAUGGGUGUCGCCACGAGCGAGAGGACGGCGCGCGCUUCUGCAAAGUGGAGGGUCACAUGGCGCGCCGUCACGGCGUACCCAUAGCCGGGUCCGUUGCCGCCUCCCGAGGGUCCAGCAACGCCGAUGACGCCCGCCACAUAGGACGGGCCGACUGGAGCGGGCGCGGAUGCACGACGGCACACGCCCGCCGGACCAGGUGGCCCUUGCGGACCCGGAGGUCCGACUGCUCCAGGCGGCCCCGGAGGACCCGGCGGUCCAACCGUGCCAGGAGGCCCCGAUGGUCCUGACGGACCUGGCGGACCGCGCUCUCGAUGCGCCCCUGCUUCGACAGGGGGAGCCGCCGCCUGGUCGUCGUGCGCACCGCGUCGAUCGGCCACCGUGAGCGGUCGCCGCAGGGUCGAUGGCACACCCGGCAUCAACGACACUGACGACGACGGCAGUGAUGUCGCUGGUGGCGGCAGUGGCGACAAACAUGGCGGCGCGGCGGGCGGCCGCUGCCAGGUCAUGAGCGCCUGUGCGCCCGGCGACAGGCCCGGAUUAAAGCAGGCGCCCGCGACGGCGGCCGGUGCCGGCCCAUAAUACAUCUUUUUUUUUGUUUCUGUUCUUCGUCCUCCUGCUCCUUCCUUUUUCGCCUCUUUCCUUUGGCUCGCUCAAGGCUUUUUGUCGAGCCAGCCCUCCUCCUCCUCUUACUUUAUGUAGCACGGCCGACGGCGGCCGAUCGAUCCCAUCAAGCCAUUUGGUCACACCACGUGAUGGCGGCCGAUGCAUGGGCCACACGCACGCCAUCCCUUAAACAAUGCAAAACCCACACAAACAAAGGACCCCCCAGACAAUAUUGCCCAGCAAGUCGACAAACAAGGGUCUUGCUUCCUGUUGCUUUUCC
rnacentral:lncRNA from 1 species